rnacentral:rRNA from 1 species
UACAGAGGCCUCGAGCGUUAGGCGGAAUCACUGGGCUUAAAGCGUGUGUAGGCGGAUCGUUAAGUACCUUGUGAAAUCCCACGGCUUAACCGUGGAACUGCUUGGUAUACUGGCGAUCUUGUGCCACCUAGGGGCGAGCGGAACAGAUGGUGGAGCGGUGAAAUGCGUAGAUAUCAUCAGGAAUACCGGAGGCGAAGGCGGCUCACUGGGGGUUAUCUGACGCUGAGGAACGAAAGCCAGGGGAGCGAACGGG